UACGUAGGGGGCAAGCGUUAACCGGAUUUACUGGGUGUAAAGGGAGCGCAGACGGCAGUGCAAGUCUGGAGUGAAAGCCCGGGGCCCAACCCCGGGACUGCUCUGGAAACUGUACGGCUAGAGUACGGGAGGGGCAGGCGGAAUUCCUAGUGUAGCGGUGAAAUGCGUAGAUAUUAGGAGGAACACCAGUGGCGAAGGCGGCCUACUGGACGGUGACUGACGCUGAGGCUCGAAAGCGUGGGGAGCAAACAGG
rnacentral:rRNA from 1 species